rnacentral:rRNA from 1 species
CAUGGUCUUAGCUUGCUAAGGCCGAUGGCGACCGGCGCACGGGUGAGUAACACGUAUCCAACCUGCCGUCUACUCUUGGACAGCCUUCUGAAAGGAAGAUUAAUACAAGAUGGCAUCAUGAGUCCGCAUGUUCACAUGAUUAAAGGUAUUCCGGUAGACGAUGGGGAUGCGUUCCAUUAGAUAGUAGGCGGGGUAACGGCCCACCUAGUCUUCGAUGGAUAGGGGUUCUGAGAGGAAGGUCCCCCACAUUGGAACUGAGACACGGUCCAAACUCCUACGGGAGGCAGCAGUGAGGAAUAUUGGUCAAUGGGCGCAGGCCUGAACCAGCCAAGUAGCGUGAAGGAUGACUGCCCUAUGGGUUGUAAACUUCUUUUAUAAAGGAAUAAAGUCGGGUAUGUAUACCCGUUUGCAUGUACUUUAUGAAUAAGGAUCGGCUAACUCCGUGCCAGCAGCCGCGGUAAUACGGAGGAUCCGAGCGUUAUCCGGAUUUAUUGGGUUUAAAGGGAGCGUAGAUGGAUGUUUAAGUCAGUUGUGAAAGUUUGCGGCUCAACCGUAAAAUUGCAGUUGAUACUGGAUAUCUUGAGUGCAGUUGAGGCAGGCGGAAUUCGUGGUGUAGCGGUGAAAUGCUUAGAUAUCACGAAGAACUCCGAUUGCGAAGGCAGCCUGCUAAGC